GCCGAAGUAAUCCAAUCAGGUAGAGAUAGCGGUUUUAGAAACCGUCCAGUGUGGGUUCGACCCCCUCCUUCGGUA
rnacentral:tRNA from 1 species